rnacentral:rRNA from 1 species
GAUGAACGCUGGCGGCGUGCCUAACACAUGCAAGUCGAGCGAUUUACUUCGGUAAAGAGCGGCGGACGGGUGAGUAACGCGUGGGUAACCUGCCCUGUACACACGGAUAACAUACCGAAAGGUAUGCUAAUACGAGAUAAUAUGCUUUUAUCGCAUGGUAGAAGUAUCAAAGCUCCGGCGGUACAGGAUGGACCCGCGUCUGAUUAGCUAGUUGGUAAGGUAACGGCUUACCAAGGCGACGAUCAGUAGCCGACCUGAGAGGGUGAUCGGCCACAUUGGAACUGAGACACGGUCCAAACUCCUACGGGAGGCAGCAGUGGGGAAUAUUGCACAAUGGGCGAAAGCCUGAUGCAGCAACGCCGCGUGAGCGAUGAAGGCCUUCGGGUCGUAAAGCUCUGUCCUCAAGGAAGAUAAUGACGGUACUUGAGGAGGAAGCCCCGGCUAACUACGUGCCAGCAGCCGCGGUAAUACGUAGGGGGCUAGCGUUAUCCGGAAUUACUGGGCGUAAAGGGUGCGUAGGUGGUUUCUUAAGUCAGAGGUGAAAGGCUACGGCUCAACCGUAGUAAGCCUUUGAAACUGGGAAAUUUGAGUGCAGGAGAGGAGAGUGGAAUUCCUAGUGUAGCGGUGAAAUGCGUAGAUAUUAGGAGGAACACCAGUUGCGAAGGCGGCUCUCUGGACUGUAACUGACACUGAGGCACGAAAGCGUGGGGAGCAAACAGG